UACGGGGGGGGCAAGCGUUGUUCGGAAUUACUGGGCGUAAAGGGCUCGUAGGUGGCCAACUAAGUCAGACGUGAAAUCCCUCGGCUUAACCGGGGAACUGCGUCUGAUACUGGAUGGCUUGAGUUUGGGAGAGGGAUGCGGAAUUCCAGGUGUAGCGGUGAAAUGCGUAGAUAUCUGGAGGAACACCGGUGGCGAAGGCGGCGUCCUGGACCAACACUGACACUGAGGAGCGAAAGCCAGGGGAGCAAACGGG
rnacentral:rRNA from 1 species